AUACUCUGGUUUCUCUUCAGAUCGUAUAAAUCUUUCGCCUUUUACUAAAGAUUUCCGUGGAGAGGAACAAAUCUGAGUCUUUAUCCAAUUUUUUGAGGCUUCGCUUCCAGCGAAGCU